rnacentral:rRNA from 1 species
GAUUCCCCUAGUAACGGCGAGCGAACAGGGAACAGCCCAGCGCCAAGUCCUGACGCUUGACGCGUUCAGGAGAUGCGGCGUUAGUGUAGUGGUGCAUCGCACGCUGCUUCGUGCUUCAAGUUCCUUUGACAGGGACUCCCAGAGUGGGUGCUAGGCCCAUAGAGGCUGCGAAGCUGGCGUGCGCAAACCAUUGCAUUCUAGAGUCAGGUUGCUUGAGAGUGCAGCCUAAAGCAGGUGGUAAACUCCAUCUAAGGCUAAAUAUUACAGCGACACCGAUAGCAAACAAGUACCGUGAGGGAAAGUUGCAAAGAACUUUGAAGAGAGAGUUCAAAAGGACGUGAAACCACUGACAGGUAAACGGGUGGAACCACGAAGUGUGCCCGCAAGACGAUUCAAUCGUGAUCGGACGGUCGGUGGCGUACGUUGGCGAGUCGCUUUCGGGUGGCUACACGUGCGUCGCUUACGAUCGCCGAUUGCGAUGCAUUUCGUUUUCUUGCGGUGCUAAAGCCACGUCCGAUUAGGUGGCUGGAGCGGCCGUAGCGAAUGCGACUCCCCGAAAGGUGGCCGUCGGUGUGCCCUCGCGGCGCGUCGACGGUGUUAUAGUCGGUGGAUCACGUUGCCCGCUGCCUAGCGUGCUGAUCGGCGCAAGUUCUCCGCGCUCGCGGAGUGUUGCAAGUAACGGGCCGGUGCGCUUGCGGUGUCGUUGCGUGCGUUCUGGUUUGCGCUUUCGUGCCCUCGUUGGCAUCGCAAAGACGGGCCAGUGUCGUGCGUAUUCGGGCGCCGCUGUGCGUGAUCGGUUUGUGCAAACGGUGGUGCGAGUAGGUCGGUCUCCACCCGACCCGUCUUGAAACACGGACCAAGGAGCCUACCAUAUACGCGAGUCGCUCGGUCUUGUUUAGGCCCGGGAGGCGCAAUGAAAGUAACCGGCUACGAGGCUGUGCGCGAUAAUCUCGCAAGCGGUCGCAGUAGCGGCCCACCUGCUUUCUUUAUCGAGAAUACGGUGGCGUCGGAGCGUAUACGGUGGUACCCGAAAGAUGGUGAACUAUGCCUGGGCAAGACGAAGCCAGAGGAAACUCUGGUGGAGGUCUGUAGCGAUUCUGACGUGCAAAUCGAUCGUCAGACCUGGGUAUAGGGGCGAAAGACUAAUCGAACCAUCUAGUAGCUGGUUCCCUCCGAAGUUUCCCUCAGGAUAGCAGGCGCUCGUCGACGACAGUCUCAUCCGGUAAAGCUAAUGAUUAGAGGUCUUGGGGCCGAAACGGCCUCAACCUAUUCUCAAACUUUAAAUGGGUGAGAUGCUUGACUUGCUUAAAUUUUGAAGCCAAGCGAUUGGAUGUUGAGUGCCUAGUGGGCCAGCUUUGGUAAGCAGAACUGGCGCUGUGGGAUGAACCAAACGUCGAGUUAAGGCAUCAAAUGCGUACGCUCAUCAGACCCCAUGAAAGGUGUUGGUUGCUAUAGACAGCAGGACGGUGGCCAUGGAAGUCGGAAUCC